AUGGCAAUUGUAUACCCAAACUUUGGAAAUUUUAUCACCAUUCUUAGCAUCGAUGGUGGAGGAGUUAGAGGAAUGAUUCCUGCAGUCAUUCUCACAGCCUUGGAGGAAGAACUUCAAUUGGAUGGAAAAGAAGCAAGAAUUUCUGACUAUUUCGAUGUGAUCGUUGGAACGAGUACUGGGGGUCUCAUUACCGCCAUGUUAACCAAGCCCCGAUGAUGAAAGCCCUCAAUACCUUGCCCGAGACAUUGUUCAAUUCUAUCGUGCUUACAGCAAGGAGAUUUUCUCACUUUGUUGCAAUGAGAUUACAAAGCCUGGUAAGAGAGAAACUACUCUGGCGAAGACGACUACCAAUGUGGUCAUCCCCACUUUGGACAUUUGUUCGAUGCAGCCUACUCACAUAAUGUAAUCCCACGGCCGCAGCAUUGUGUGAAAAUUAAGCCGAAGGGAAAGAGGGCUUGCAACUCAAGGGAUUUCUCGUUAUCAGAUGUAUGUAUUGGCACAACUGCUGCACCUACUUACUUUCCUCCUCAUGAGUUCACAAAAUGUUCCAAAAAAUUCGAACUUGUCAGUGGUGGUCUUGCAGCCAACGAUCCUGAUGCAGCGACAUGGGGGCUUGUGAAAUGGUUGGCUAACAACAACAAAAAUCCUCUGAUUGAUGCAUUAAUGGAGGCAGGCUCAGACAUGGUGGAUAUCCACGUCUCCACAAUCUUUCAAUCCAUCAAUCGCGAAAGUAAAUACCUUCGCAUUGAGGCAAGUGGAGAACACAAGAAAACUUGUAUGUUCAUGUUAGUUGACUCAUAUUGCAAAACACGCACACAGACACAUACACAUGCCAUGGACAAAUGCCAGAUCUUUUGGACACAGGACUACGAACUACCGUAUCAAAACUUAGCCAUGGAUGAUGCAAGCGAUAAAAACGUCCAAGAGCUUGAAGUGAGAGGCAAAUGUCUUUUGGAUGAAUCUGUGAAAAGGGUGAACCUGGAGACUGGUUUAGCUGAACCGGUUGGCGAUGGAGUCACCAAUCGUGGCGCUUUAAUAGAGUAA